CCGGGGUGAGGCCCAGUGGUCGUGGCCCAGAAGGCCGCGCAGAGGAGGGGACUGGGCCAUGGCCGGGCCGCCGAGGGCUCUGGGAGGCUGAGCCGGCCACCUCCAGGCCUGAGCUUUUAUCUGGCCCGAAGGAAAGCUCUUUAAAGCAGAGAUGCACCCAUGUUUCUAUCCUCUUAUAUUUUCUUCCUGGAAAAUGUGAUGACUGGAGCUUCAGCAACCAUUUUGUGACAGUGAAGCAAUCCCAAGGACAGAAGUCAUACAUUAAGGAUGACGGAGCAAACAGAAUCUUGAGGGCUUGAUGACAACAUAGAAGCACCAUACUGUCCCAGGACUAUCUAUCCCUGAAUUUCUUUAAUGUGAGAGAAAAUAAAUCACCACUUUAUCCAAGUCAUUGA